rnacentral:tRNA from 1 species
GGAGAGGUGUCAGAGUGGUCGAAUGAACCGGUUUCGAAAACCGGCGAUGGCGAAAGCUAUCCGUGGGUUCAAAUCCCACCCUCUCCG